rnacentral:snRNA from 1 species
GUGCUUCCUUUGGCAGCAUAUUAUAUUAAAACUGGAAUGAUACAUAGAAGAUUAGUAUGGUCCCUGUGAAAGUCAUUCAUACAAAUUUGUGUUUUAUUU